rnacentral:lncRNA from 1 species
ACGCAGUCCGAGAGUCCAGACGCAUGCCGACUGGAGGACCAAAGAGAUUAGCACGAAGAAGGAUGAUCUUCCACAAAAAGAGCUAUGUACAGCUAUAAUGGAAAAUACUCGGUGAGGAGAAACGAAAUAAAAGGCAAUACAGCGUAGCCAAACCCGGGUUAGCUGCGGGUGGAGUUCAAGAGCGCGCCGCGGUCCCGCCCCCGCCAGCCCCGCCCCGGCGAGAAAAGCGUAUGCAAAUUUUCGAGCGGCCGACGCGCGGUCUUCUGGGUAAAACCGAGCCGCCGCUUUUGCGACCCUUCGGGAGCCUCAGAAAACAAAGAAUUGGGGUGUCGUCGAAAGCUGUGGAGGCUGGAGAGUACAGUAUGAAGUGGAGGAGUAACUAUCCUGCGGAGAAAACUGACAGACGCAACCUCAGCCAGAUGGUGGAGGUCAACAUCAAGUACACGUCAUAUGAUGUCAUGAAAACGGCAUUUUGCCUGUGACAGUCCUUCCCAAGACCCUUAAGCUCAGUCUAAACAUGAGGAAAACAUCAGAGAAAUUCCAAUAGAGGGGCAUCCUACAAAACACCUGACCAGUACCCCUCAAAACUGUCCAGGUCAUCAAAAACAAGAACUCUGAGAAACUGUCACAGCAACAGGAGCCAAGGGAAACAUAACAACUAAAGGUAAUGAGGUAUCCUGGAAAAGAGUGUGCAACAGAAAGAUGACAUUUUUCCUUAGGUAGAAACUAAGGAAAUAUGAAUAAAGCAUGAACUCUAGUUAAUAAUAAUACAUCAAUACUGGCUCAUUAAUUGUAAUAAACCACAUUAAUGUUAGAUAUAAUAAUGAGAUAUUUGUAAUUUUUCUGUAAAAAAGUUUAUUUUUUAAAAAGAACAGCCCAUCACUUAAGUGAGUUAUUUAGCUUUUGUCUGGUGAAAUCUUAAGCUUAUCUGCACAGUUGCAUUACUGGUUGCAGGUAGGGGUGUUAUUCAUGACAGAAACAUCCCUUCAUACAUCGUUCAAGGCUAAGGUAAAGAGGACUAUUGUUUAUUUGGGGGAAAGCUGACGUCAGCUUUUCCAGGAUGGCAGUUUACUUGGUAGGUCUGAGCAGAGAAGGCCUCGCUAAGCCCCGGACAGUCAAGUUUCAAUGCGUUGCCUAGAGGAACUGGGGAGCCUGGAAACUCCCGAAGAAGACUGAGUGGGUAGAUGCACCUGAGCCCCAGAGAAAUAGGACAGGAGAGGUCCAGGGUGUCAGCCAGGAGGACAGAAGGCAGUUCCAGGCACUUUCACAGCUCAGGCCCUUCUCCUGGGUUUCCAUUUCCCUACUGAAGAAAGGGAUACAUGAAAAAGUCCUUGCCCAGAAGACCACUCUGAUAAUUAACUAUAAAAACCUCUUUGUGCCUAACCUCCUCAUCUGUAAAACAUGGACAAUAAUAACAGCUGCCUCGUGGGUUGUUGUGAGGGUUAAAUAAAGUGUGUAUGUAAACUGU